rnacentral:rRNA from 1 species
UACGUAGGAUGCAAGCGUUGUCCGGAUUUACUGGGCGUAAAGCGCGCGCAGGCGGCAGUGUAAGUAAGGUGUGAAAUAUCCCGGCUCAACCGGGAGGGUGCACUUUAGACUACACAGCUUGAGGUCGGUAGAGGGGGGUAGAAUUGCUGGUGUAGCGGUGAAAUGCGUAGAGAUGCGGAGGAACACCGAUGGCGAAGGCAGCCCCCUGGGCUAACACUGACGCUGAGGCACGAAAGCGUGGGGGAGCAAACAGGG